rnacentral:rRNA from 1 species
UGGGGAAUAUUGCACAAUGGGCGCAAGCCUGAUGCAGCGACGCCGCGUGAGGGAUGACGGCCUUCGGGUUGUAAACCUCUUUCAGCAGGGACGAAGCGCAAGUGACUGUACCUGCAGAAGAAGCGCCGGCUAACUACGUGCCAGCAGCCGCGGUAAUACGUAGGGCGCAAGCGUUGUCCGGAAUUAUUGGGCGUAAAGAGCUCGUAGGCGGUCUGUCACGUCGGAAGUGAAAACCCGGGGCUUAACCCCGGGCUUGCUUUCGAUACGGGCAGACUAGAGUGUGGUAGGGGAGACUGGAAUUCCUGGUGUAGCGGUGAAAUGCGCAGAUAUCAGGAGGAACACCGGUGGCGAAGGCGGGUCUCUGGGCAGUAACUGACGCUGAGAAGCGAAAGCGUGGGUAGCGAA